AGGCUGCCAGAGGGUCACGGUGGGAGCCCCCGCCUUCGCCACUACCCCUGGGCCAUCCUGCCCCGCCCCUAUGUGGGCAUCACAAUGAGGAGGUGUCUCCAUCAGUAGCCAUGGCCUGUCAGGACUCUUCAGAGACCGCCUGCUUCCCAGGCUCCAGGCAGCUGGGCGGACAUUCAAGACUUGCUUCAUUCAUCAUCUCUGCCACCAACCUCGCCAGGUGGUCACCUGGCUGCCAAAUGUGAUGGCUUUCCAGUUGCACACCCUUCCAUCUGACUUAGCUCUCUUGGGUGGGAAACAGGCACUCCUGCCCCUUCUCCCUGGAGAGGACCAUGGAUCCUGAAACAGUAUCUCAGAGCCUUGGCGGCCGGUGCAACUGCAGUGCACCUAGACCUCUCUCUGCAGGCCAGCUGAGGCCUGGGGCUCACCCCUCUCUCUCAACCCUCUUUAAAAAGGGGGGCACAUGGAGUCCCUGCAAGGCUUAGCCACCUUAUGCCAGGGCAGUAGGGAGUGCUCAGCGGGACCCAGGCCUGCAGGCUCCACGAAGGACCUCAUUUGCACUUCAAUGAAGCGCUUUUCUUUCACUCAACUAUGUAUCUUGGUGUUAGAUGUGUCAGUGGGGAGACUCCCCAGUGCAAUUAAACAGGAGUAUUGAGCCGGAGAGAAAUCAGUGUGUGUUGACUCAGAUAUUUAAGCAACCACCUUUCAGUAUUGACUCAGAAAUUGGCCUUCCAGCUGUCCCUGCUGGCAGACUCUUCUGGCAUCUCGUCAAGCCCGUGUUAAUGUGUUUUUCAAAUUUCAACUUGCUUCAACUUGUCUCCUGACUGAUCCUCCUGAUGAUGAUAAUUAUGGUUUCCAGGCUGACCUGCACACAGCACUUAGGCAAGUAGCCCAGGCCCCUCUCUGGAGGUGACCUCCUCCUUAUAAAUCACAGUCAGAGGACGUUUGCUUGCUGGGUUCGCGGCAGGUUAAGUCAGCUUGGGGGACUUCUCAAGCAACCUCUAAUUGUUCCUCUGGAGAACCUGAGUGGUGUGGGUCUCUCUCCUGAUGGGGUUAGACUUCAGUGGUCUGCUGCUGGAGGGGGCCGGGUUGCUGAUUCCCUCCAAAUUUUACUCACUCUUCCAAACAGGAAGAGCUUUCCCACCAUGUGCAGUCCCCCUGAUGAGUAAUUCUUGGAUGGGUUUGUGGUCACUUAAUUGCCAGGGAGCUUGCCCCUUGCUUUACAGAGUCGUGACUAUACAAGCACCUUUCCCAGCCGUGGCCAAUUAGUGGGGCCCCAGCUGGUUUGGAGCCAGGCUUCUAAGGAAGGCUGGGUCCCUGUUAGCCUCUCUGAGGCCUUCCUAAGUGCGGCUGUCAAACUUUGCUGAACUUUCCCCCUUGCGGCUAAUGAGUGUCACAGCUAUUUUUAACCUCGGGUUUUCUAGAAUUUGAGCUGUUAACCCAGCUCCCACAGAAGAAGGAUCCUGGGAGGUGGAAAUGGACUCUUCACACACAAGGAGGGAGAGAAAAGGGAAAGAGGAAAAUGAAUUUAAAGGAAAUAGGAGUAGCAAUGGAGGAGAUGGAAGAUCCGGCUAAGACACAAGUGAGAAAAAUGAAAAAUGGCUAGGCUACAAGAGAGGAAAAAUCUGCUAUGAGGCAGCAGAGAUGAAUCGAUGCUGAAAAGCUGUAUUUUUGAGAGGAGAAAUUGCAAGGGGAGGGGGAAAUUAAAGAGUGUUGAAUAAAGAGGAGACUAAGAGACCUGUAAAAUA